AUUGAACGCUGGCGGCAUGCCUUACACAUGCAAGUCGAACGGCAGCACGGGAGCAAUCCUGGUGGCGAGUGGCGAACGGGUGAGUAAUAUAUCGGAACGUGCCCAGUCGUGGGGGAUAACGUAGCGAAAGCUACGCUAAUACCGCAUACGAUCUACGGAUGAAAGCGGGGGAUCGCAAGACCUCGCGCGAUUGGAGCGGCCGAUAUCAGAUUAGGUAGUUGGUGAGGUAAAGGCUCACCAAGCCGACGAUCUGUAGCUGGUCUGAGAGGACGACCAGCCACACUGGGACUGAGACACGGCCCAGACUCCUACGGGAGGCAGCAGUGGGGAAUUUUUGGACAAUGGGCGGCAAGCCUGAUCCAGCAAUGCCGCGUGCAGGAUGAAGGCCUUCGG
rnacentral:rRNA from 1 species